AUAUAUGACUAGAAGUAAGUACUUGUCAUAGAUCUGUAUAUAGGAAACAGAUCGAUCUGUUAUUUCAUUAUACAGAAAUCAAAACCGAAAAAAGAGAAAUAGGAAUGGAUCAUUUCAGCCACGAGCAUCCACUGAUCCUGAAUGAAGAUUACAUUGCUAGAGGGGGUGAUAUGUGUAAUGCCUGCAACGAAGAGAUCGUCUCAUGUAAGUCAUUUGUUUUCAGUUGCAGCAGCAUCACGGGCAUCCCAGGUACUGAUAACAAGGAUGUUGAUGAAGAAUGUAUUAAAUUCUUACUCCACAAAACGUGUGCAGAGUCGCCCCUUAGAAUUGAAAGCCUAAGAAACCGAGAAGAGUUCCUUGACCUCCAUAUCAAUCCCCAUCACCAAACACAGUUAGAUUACUUUUUGAACCGUCCAGGUGAUAUUUAUCCCUGUAACAUGUGUAUGAAACAAAUGCCAUGGAUUUACCACAGUCCUGGUUUUGUAUUCUGUGUUUGCCUUAAAUGUGCCAUGUUCCAAGUUGAUUCUUUCAGAUGCCUUAAAUUUAUGCAUCAAUCUCACACUCAACACCAACUAGCCUUAAUCCAACGUCCAUCUUCAUUCAAAUGUGAUGCUUGCAACAUGGAGGAUAGUACUAAAGACAUGUCAUAUAAAUGUGUGGAUUGUCCGUUUUGGAUGCACAAGAGCUGUGCUGAUGCUCCUACCUCUUUCGUAUUUCAUUUUCACCAAAAACACCCUCUUAUGCUCUCAUUUUCUUUGCCACAAGUUUAUCAUAAAUUUGCACAGCAUUGCAGACUCUGCAAUGGAAAGCUGGGUGAAUUAAAUUGGCUUUACUAUUGUUCCAAAUGCAGAUAUUUCGCCCAUUUUCAAUGUGCUAGAUCAAGGCAGAUGUUGAGCUCCUCUGAAAACGAAGAAUAUCCCGAUCUUGUGCACCUCCCAGAAGCUACUGAAUCAUCUGUAAAUUUAUUGUGUGAGCAAUUUAUCAAGCGGAUGAGUAGUCCAAAGAACGAGCAAGGAUGUAGCACAAGAGGUCGUCUUAAAUUAAAGAUUGGGCUCAUGGUAAACAUCACCUGCAGCUUGUUACACAGUUGAUGAGUUAAACGAUAAGAAAGAUAUAUUGGUCGUCUUUUGUUUCAUCUCAGAUGUUAUGAUAAAUCAUGUUAUCUCGACUUGUCACAUGUCAAGUUUGGUGCUACUCAUAUUAUUAAAGACCGACUCCAUCGGCACAGCCUCACAUUUGUAUUCAACAAGAAGUUUCGUCGUUGCGGAAAAUGUCACCAGGGUAAUAUUGGCAGGCCUGUCCUUGAAUGUGCACCAUGCAAAACCAUAUUUUGUGGGGAUUGCUCCGGAAUGUUUAAAUAUGUGUUUUGAAAUAGAUGAUUAGACUUUAAAAAAAAAAACAUGUGUUAAAAAAGUCAAAAUGACCUAUAUUUUAAAACAAAGAAAAGGGAGUGAUUGGAGUUCUUGUAUUAGGUUUUGGUAUUGUGUUAUAACUCUUCAAAAUUGUUCUUUUUUUGUAAUCUCAUUAAUAAAUGAGUAUACCUCUAGCUAGUCUGAGACUUGUGCA